rnacentral:rRNA from 1 species
UAGGGAAUCUUCGGCAAUGGGGGGAACCCUGACCGAGCAACGCCGCGUGAGUGAAGAAGGUUUUCGGAUCGUAAAGCUCUGUUGUUAAGGAAGAACGAGUGUGAGAAUGGAAAGUUCAUGCUGUGACGGUACUUAACCAGAAAGGGAUGGCUAACUACGUGCCAGCAGCCGCGGUAAUACGUAGGUCCCGAGCGUUGUCCAGAUUUAUUGGGCGUAAAGCGAGCGCAGGCGGUUAGAAAAGUCUGAAGUGAAAGGCAGUGGCUCAACCAUUGUAGGCUUUGGAAACUGUUUAACUUGAGUGCAGAAGGGGAGAGUGGAAUUCCAUGUGUAGCGGUGAAAUGCGUAGAUAUAUGGAGGAACACCGGUGGCGAAAGCGGCUCUCUGGUCUGUAACUGACGCUGAGGCUCGAAAGCGUGGGGAGCGAACAGG